GCGGAGAGUAGUACUUCCUUUUGGACAGGGGAGAGCAUGGAGACACAAUGUAAUAAUGCAACUAGAGCCAGAGACACAACAAUGAAGGAGCAAAAGAACCUGACUUCCUGAUGACUUUCAGAACCCCCGGGAGACACUACCUCCCAAUUUGGUUAACGUUUCAAAGUAAAUAUUUGCAGACUGCCAAAGGUCUCCAUAUACUACACUAGGAAAAAAAAAAUCCUAUCUCAGUAGUUUCUUCAGAUCCUUCUCCAACACUCACUUAACUCCUGGCUCAAGUUACAUCUCAGACCCUUCUUCCCUAAGAGACACCACUGCAUUGCAUGCCCGGGGUUCUCCUGGACCUUUCUUCCCUCAGAUGUCCCAUUGUCACCUUACUUAAAUGAAUAAAAUUGAACGUGUCUACCUA